rnacentral:lncRNA from 1 species
GUGAAUUAAUUAAUCCAAUUAAUUAAUUCGAAAAUAUAAAUAACAAAUUCAAUUAAUUAAUUUAUCCAACGAUUGUUAAAUUAAUCAAUUGGCAAUUUGCAAUUUUCCAAUUCUCUUUUGUGUGUGACCCAUUAGGUUCCCGACCACAAUGUCUAACGACGUAAAAUAUUAUUUUGAUCUAAUCAAAAUUGAUAAAUUAAAACACCCCUUUUAAUUUAUCGUCAAUUCACAUUCGCCGUCCCUGAUUGACAUCUAGCAAUGUGUCAGGGCAAAACAUGUGACGGAAAAUGUCACGUGGUA